rnacentral:rRNA from 1 species
AGCUCCAAUAGCGUAUAUUAAAGUUGUUGCGGUUAAAAAGCUCGUAGUUGGAUUUCUGCGCGAAACGAACGGUCUACCUUAUGGGUAAGUAUCUGUCAGGUUCGCGCAUCCUCAUGAAGAACGUCGCUGCGAUUUAUUUCGUGGUACGGAAUUCAUGACUUUUACUUUGAGGAAAUUAGAGUGUUCACGGCAAGCAAACGCUUUGAAUAUGUUAGCAUGGAAUAAUAAUAUAGGACCUUGGUACUAUUUUGUUGGUUUCUAGAACUAAGGUAAUGAUUAAUAGGGACAGUUUGGGGGCAUUCGUAUUAACACGUCAGAGGUGGAAUUCUUGGAUUGUGUUACGACGAACUACUGCGAAAGCAUUUG